GCGAAUACCGGAGAAUGUUAUCACGGGAGACACACGGCGGGUGCUAACGUCCGUCGUGAAGAGGGAAACAACCCAGACCGCCAGCUAAGGUCCCAAAGUCAUGGUUAAGUGGGAAACGAUGUGGGAAGGCCCAGACAGCCAGGAUGUUGGCUUAGAAGCAGCCAUCAUUUAAAGAAAGCGUAAUAGCUCACUGGUCGAGUCGGCCUGCGCGGAAGAUGUAACGGGGCUAAACCAUGCACCGAAGCUGCGGCAGCGACACUCAGGUGUUGUUGGGUAGGGGAGCGUUCUGUAAGCCUGCGAAGGUGGCCUGUGAGGGUUGCUGGAGGUAUCAGAAGUGCGAAUGCUGACAUAAGUAACGAUAAAGCGGGUGAAAAGCCCGCUCGCCGGAAGACCAAGGGUUCCUGUCCAACGUUAAUCGGGGCAGGGUGAGUCGACCCCUAAGGCGAGGCCGAAAGGCGUAGUCGAUGGGAAACGGGUUAAUAUUCCCGUACUUGGUGUUACUGCGAAGGGGGGACGGAGAAGGCUAUGUUGGCCGGGCGACGGUU
rnacentral:rRNA from 1 species